rnacentral:rRNA from 1 species
GAUGAACGCUGGCGGCGUGCCUAAUACAUGCAAGUCGAGCGAACAGACGAGGAGCUUGCUCCUCUGACGUUAGCGGCGGACGGGUGAGUAACACGUGGAUAACCUACCUAUAAGACUGGGAUAACUUCGGGAAACCGGAGCUAAUACCGGAUAAUAUAUUGAACCGCAUGGUUCAAUAGUGAAAGACGGUUUUGCUGUCACUUUUAGAUGGAUCCGCGCCGCAUUAGCUAGUUGGUAAGGUAACGGCUUACCAAGGCGACGAUGCGUAGCCGACCUGAGAGGGUGAUCGGCCACACUGGAACUGAGACACGGUCCAGACUCCUACGGGAGGCAGCAGUAGGGAAUCUUCCGCAAUGGGCGAAAGCCUGACGGAGCAACGCCGCGUGAGUGAUGAAGGUCUUCGGAUCGUAAAACUCUGUUAUUAGGGAAGAACAAAUGUGUAAGUAACUAUGCACGUCUUGACGGUACCUAAUCAGAAAGCCACGGCUAACUACGUG